UAAGUGGACCGCCUGGGGAGUACGGCCGCAAGGUUAAACUCAAAUGAAUUGACGGGGGCCCGCACAAGCGGUGGAGCAUGUGGUUUAAUUUGACGCAACGCGAAGAACCUUACCUGGCCUUGACAUGCAGAGAACUUUCCAGAGAUGGAUUGGUGCCUUCGGGAACUCUGACACAGGUGCUGCAUGGCCGUCGUCAGCUCGUGUCGUGAGAUGUUGGGUUAAGUCCCGUAACGAGCGCAACCCCUAUCCCUAGUUGCUAGCAGUUCGGCUGAGAACUCUAGGGAGACUGCCGGUGACAAACCGGAGGAAGGUGGGGAUGACGUCAGGUCAUCAUGGCCCUUACGGCCAGGGCUACACACGUGCUACAAUGGUGCGUACAGAGGGCUGCAAACCCGCGAGGGGGAGCUAAUCUCACAAAACGCAUCGUAGUCCGGAUCGGAGUCUGCAACUCGACUCCGUGAAGUCGGAAUCGCUAGUAAUCGCGAAUCAGAAUGUCGCGGUGAAUACGUUCCCGGGCCUUGUACACACCGCCCGUCACACCAUGGGAGUGGAUUGCACCAGAAGUGGUUAGU
rnacentral:rRNA from 1 species